rnacentral:rRNA from 1 species
GAUGAACGCUAGCUACAGGCUUAACACAUGCAAGUCGAGGGACCGGCGCACGGGUGAGUAACACGUAUCCAACCUGCCCUUUACUCGGGGAUAGCCUUUCGAAAGAAAGAUUAAUACCCGAUAUAAAGGAUGGGGAUGCGUUCCAUUAGGUUGUUGGUGAGGUCACGGCUCACCAAGCCUUCGAUGGAUAGGGGUUGUGAGAGGAAGGUCCCCGACAUUGGAACUGAGACACGGUCCAAACGGCAACGAGCGGCAGCAGUGAGGGAUAAUGGGCAAUGGGCGCUAGCCUGAACCAGCCAAGUAGCGAGAAGGAUGAAGGGUUAUGGGUCGUAAACUUCUUUGAGAUAAGAAUAUGUAUUAUAUGAAUAAGGAUCGGCUAACUACGUGCCAGAGCCGCGGUAAUAC